rnacentral:rRNA from 1 species
UACGAAGGGGGCUAGCGUUGUUCGGAAUUACUGGGCGUAAAGGGCGCGUAGGCGGUACUUCAAGUCAGGCGUGAAAGCCCCGGGCUCAACCUGGGAACCGCGCUUGAGACUGGAGAACUAGAGUUCGGGAGAGGAUGGUGGAAUUCCCAGUGUAGAGGUGAAAUGCGUAGAUAUCGGAAGGAACACCAGUGGCGAAAGCGGCUUCCUGGUCCAGCACCGACGUUCAGGCACGAAAGCGUGGGGAGCAAACAGG